GACGAACGCUGGCGGCGUGCCUAAUACAUGCAAGUCGAACGCUUCUUUUUCCACCGGAGCUUGCUCCACCGGAAAAAGAGGAGUGGCGAACGGGUGAGUAACACGUGGGUAACCUGCCCAUCAGAAGGGGAUAACACUUGGAAACAGGUGCUAAUACCGUAUAACAAUCGAAACCGCAUGGUUUUGAUUUGAAAGGCGCUUUCGGGUGUCGCUGAUGGAUGGACCCGCGGUGCAUUAGCUAAUUGGUGAGGUAACGGCUCACCAAGGCCACGAUGCAUAGCCGACCUGGGAGGGUGAUCGGCCACAUUGGGACUGAGACACGGCCCAAACUCCUACGGGAGGCAGCAGUAGGGAAUCUUCGGCAAUGGACGAAAGUCUGACCGAGCAACGCCGCGUGAGUGAAGAAGGUUUUCGGAUCGUAAAACUCUGUUGUUAGAGAAGAACAAGGAUGAGAGUAACUGUUCAUCCCUUGACGGUAUCUAACCAGAAAGCCACGGCUAACUACGUGCCAGCCGCCACGGUAA
rnacentral:rRNA from 1 species